AUCAUAACCACCAAAGUACUUUCUCUAUGCUCUUUCUUCCUCAACUCAAAUCAUGUCUUCAACCUCUCCCUACCCAAAAUUCUUGAAACCGGCCAUUAAUACAACAUACUACAACCAUCGAGCCUUUUGCACAAAAUUAUAUUGAAGGCUUCUACUAUUAAACCCUUUGUCUGAUCAACAUUUACCCUACGUUGUUGUUUAAAAUGUUGAUAACCUGAAGUGUUGAUGAAAAUUGAAGAGCUAAAUGAAAAGGAUGAUAGAAUUUAG
rnacentral:lncRNA from 1 species